UGGAACGGCAUGAGGGUGAGUAAUAAAUGACAUUAUUUUUAUUUUUGGGUGAACUAACCCUUUAAUGUCUUGUGAUCGUAAGCCUUGUGCUAUGAAUUGUUUUACAAAACAAAAGACAUUUUGUUUAAUCAUUUUAAUGUCUUUAACAUUAUUUGAAAAUGUGGAAAAAUUAAACCUUUGGCUAACAUUAAAUAAACAGAAUGCUGAUACGCUAUUCUCUUACAUAAAGAUGUCUGAAUAAAAGUUUUUGAUGUAUCAUAAAAUGGUACGAUAAUAUCCAGCAAAACCACUGACAAUUUUCCACUAACAUUUCUGGCUAGUGCCAACACAGGUGUGGAAAUAAUUAGCAGGGUAGUUCAACUAGCUGAGCAAGAACCUUUUUUCCAAAGCACCUCAGCAGUAACCAUGGAAACAAGACAAGGAAAACACCAUGUCAGCUUCUCUCCAGACACCCACAUUAUGCUCUUUUUGACUGGGCAGUAGCUACAAAAUUCCAGUGUUACAAGAUAUCACUAAUUCAAGCAAUUAUGUUCACCACUUACAAACCAAAAUAGACUUGUAUGCAUAUUUGAAAUGUUGAAAAUGGUAAAGAUUUGUUGACAUGCAUGGACCAUACAAAAUGACUGACUAAUUUAAUACACUAAGUGGGGCCAUUAGCUUAUAACCUCACUUGAACUCUUAACACACAUAUGAAAAUUCAGAUGUCCUGUGGGUUACAAUUCAAAAUAGCACCAUUCCAAUUACACCUUUUUUUUGUUUACAAUUUGAGCUAUAGUUAAUGUAGCUGAAAAUAUGUUACAAGAACAUUUGCAUACCUAUGAGACAAAAUAAACAAUCUGAUAAAACUAGGAUCGAUUCAUGGUCUUCAGGCUUGUGAUUUAACUACGUUAAAGACGCGACAUUGAAUGCUUGAUUCUGAUUGACCAAUCACAGCGGGCGGUCAAAUAUUUUCGCAUAAUAUCCGUUGUUCAUAUGCUCGUCCAUUUUGAUUUCUAAUGGCGCCUUAAGUGGUCUUUACAAAAAAUCUGAACUUAAUUAUAUAAUAUAAAUGUAAUAUUUAAUGUGUAUUUGUUUAUUUAUUUGCUAAGCAGUAGUGGUAGGCCUAUAUAAUAUGUGUGACAAUGUACAGCCAUAAUGACAGUUGGUCAUUUUCGCAAAAUAAACGGCUUUAGGAAGAUAAGAGACCCCUGUCGCAGUUUAUUUUGCGAUAACAACCAACUGACUCUACGUUGACCCGUACCUGCACGAAGCUGACGGAAAGUGACGAUAGCCCUUGACUUGCAUUAUAUGAAUCACCAAGGACAGUUUCAGCUAAAAAUCUUCUUUACAUUUCUACUGAAGAAAAAAAGACUUACAUCUUGGAUGGCCGGCCUGAAGUAGUGACAUUCUUCAGGAAAACUGGACACAGCAAAGCUCUCCUUGUGACGACUGAUGGCAUGAACCAGAAACCCUGCUAACUGCUGCUCCAGAAGCUCUACGACAGCUUUGGCAUCUCCCUUCCUCGCAG